rnacentral:rRNA from 1 species
CUUAGUGGCGAACGGGUGAGUAACGCGUGAGUAACCUGCCCUAGAGUGGGGGACAACAGUUGGAAACGACUGCUAAUACCGCAUAAGCCCACGGUACCGCAUGGUACUGAGGGAAAAGGAUUUAUUCGCUUUAGGAUGGACUCGCGUCCAAUUAGCUAGUUGGUGAGGUAACGGCCCACCAAGGCGACGAUUGGUAGCCGGACUGAGAGGUUGAACGGCCACAUUGGGACUGAGACACGGCCC